rnacentral:tRNA from 1 species
GCCGACGUAGCUCAACGGUAGAGCACGGCUUUCGUAAAGCCGGGGUUGAGGGUUCGAAUCCCUCCGUCGGCU